GGACUACUGGGGUAUCUAAUCCCAUUCGCUCCCCACGCUUUCGUCCCUGAGUGUCAGAACUGUUCUAGUGCAAUGCCUUCGCCUUUGGUGUUCUUGUCGAUAUUAACGCAUUUUACUACUACACCGACAAUUCCAUGCACCUCUCCCAGCCUCUAGCUCGAUAGUUUCCAAUGCGGCUCUGACGUUGAGCGCCAGAAUUUAACACCAGACUUAUCGAACCACCUGCGGACCCUUUACGCCCAAUAAAACCGGAUAACGCUUGGACCACUCGUAUUACCGCGGCUGCUGGCAC
rnacentral:rRNA from 1 species